UGAUCAUACUCAUUCCCUAAUGUUAAUUCAAGACUAAAUACUACUAAUUUAUUUUGUUUAUUGAUUUAAACUCAAAGAAACAAGAAUUCCACGCGACUCACUUGUGUAAUGCUGUACAGCCUGUUCCUAUAAACGAGAAGCCGUAUUGAAUUCACUCACAUCAUUUAUAAUUUUUAAAAACCUUUUCAUUGAAGCCGAUUGGAUUCACUCGGAUCAUUUAUAAUUUUUUAAAAACAGCACACUUGGAUCUCUCAUCUGCCCAACAUCACCUGUGAAGUAUGUCGGGAAACCUACAGCGUGUGAUCGUCGCCGUCGAUGGCAGCGAGGAAAGCAUGAAAGCCUUGAGGUGGGCGCUUGAUAAUAUCAAGCUUCGAUCGCCUCCCUCCCAUGCCGAAGCCGGCUCCUUCGUCAUCCUACAUGUUCAAUCCCCGCCCUCCAUCGCUACCGGUCUCAAUCCCGGUGCCAUCCCCUUCGGCGGUCCCACUGAUUUGGAGGUGCCUGCAUUCACUGCGGCGAUUGAGGCGCAUCAGCGGCGCAUUACUGAGGCCAUACUUGAUCACGCUUUGAAGAUUUGUUCUGAUAAGAAUGUGAAUGUCAAAACCGAUGUGGUGAUUGGGGAUCCGAAGGAGAAGAUUUGUGAAGCUGCUGUGAAUUUGCAUGCUGAUCUGCUUGUCAUGGGGUCACGUGCUUUUGGACCCAUUAGAAGGAUGUUUUUGGGAAGUGUCAGCAACUAUUGCACCAACCAUGCACAAUGUCCUGUGAUGAUAGUUAAGGAUACUGCCUGACAAGCUAUAACUGGAUGCAGGAAUCAUGUGGAUCAGAUUGUUUUUCAGAAACACAAACCAUGAAAGAAAAGGUUUCAUGGAAAAUUCAGAAGGCUUAUCAACCUAAAAAAUACAGACAGGCAUCCCUGAUACCAAAUUUAUUUGAUGUGUUAAUUAACAUUGAUUUUUAUGCAAAAAAAAACACGGUCCACUGGGCUGGGUUUUGAAUAGGAUUGAAGCCUGCGUGUCUAACUACAUUGGAUGAGAUAUUGGUGAUGGUGAUGAUGGCCAAGAGGUGGUAAAUGGGUUGGGGGUGUGUUUUUUUCCUAAAAUUCGGGAAAAUUGAGGGGGGUUUGGUGUUUGCGGCGGUGGUGGUGAAUUGCAAAUCAUUGGGGUGUGUCGGAGAUGGCAGAGGAAGCAGUGGUUGUAAUGGUUUCACUUCUGACCACUGUGGGGAAAAAAAAAAAAAUAAUCAUAUUCUUUAUCAUGAAAUGUAGUAGCUGGAGGUGAUAGCUUGAUUAUACAAGUAAAGACUGGGUUAAGAGUUUUUUUAUUUUUUAUUUCAAGAGAAUAGCUAUUGUAAUGUUUGAAACCCCUGUUUGAAGAAGCCAUAUGAUAGACAUACUACUGAUUCCUAGAAGAAACAAUUGUGACACGUACUUGAGUUGAGCCUCUAAUUCAUAGAUGAAUAGAUUUAUGGGUUAGGCAAUCCUGACAACUGUUGCACAAGCUGCCAAGAAGUUCCAUUCAGAAAUCGUGCAACUAAACAGGGCAGUCGGGGAAGGCCUCGUGACUCUCUAGGUGCUCUCUAUCAUUGAGGAACUGAGUGUGAGAGCUUUGUCGUUGUUUAUGUCUUUUCCUUUUUUUCCGUCUAUGUCUGUCUCCGAUCCGUGAAACUAUUUAGUAUUUAAAUUACAUGUGUUUGGAUA